rnacentral:rRNA from 1 species
AACGAACGCUGGCGGCGUGGAUAAGACAUGCAAGUCGAGCGCUGAUUACGGGGUAGCAAUAUUCCGUAGUUGGAGCGGCGCAAGGGUGCGUAACACGUGGGUAAUCUGCCAUGAAGUCUGGAAUAACUUGCUGAAAGGCGAGCUAAUACCGGAUGUGAAAACUGGAAGGCAUCUUCUGGGUUUCAAAGCUGGGGACCGUAAGGCCUGGCGCUUCAUGAUGAGCCCGCGGCCUAUCAGCUAGUUGGUGAGGUAACGGCUCACCAAGGCUAUGACGGGUAGCUGGUCUGAGAGGACGACCAGCCUCACUGGAACUGAGACACGGUCCAGACACCUACGGGUGGCUG